CUACGCGCCGCCACCGCACUCCACCACAACUCUCCGACGUCCUUUCUCCGCUCUCACCCUUCCAACAUCCUUAUUUCAAACCCCCACUUGUUCUCCACCUUCCUUCACCGCCGCGUCCCUCCACGCGCCACCGCGUUUCCCAACCCUUUAAACCUCAGCAUUUCAAAUCACCACUUGCUCUCCCGGAGCCUGCACACACACGCCACCACUCUUCACAAGCGUCGAAGAACUUUCCACAUCUUGGAUUACGCUCUAGCCUUCGGUUGCAUUGCAGCAGCAGGAGGGAUAAUACAUUUGUACAACAAUCUAGAAAAACCAAGAAUGUUCGCAACCGUAACUGAUAAUCAGGAGAUGAGGUUUCACGGCUUAAUACCACACAUGUACCGUAAGGGGCACUACCUAGUCGUCGAGGGUCUGACUCGACCCAUUAAGGGGAACAAAUUUAGUAAUGCAGCUGCUAAAACUGUUGGAGCCAAAUAUCAUUAUGAACUCUAUUUGUCAGCUACCGAGGUGUUAGCGCAGCCUGAUCAUGUUGUCACCGCCUUGCAAAGGAAUUACACCAUUCUUGCAGUGAAGCAGAUAUAUUCCAAGGACAACGAUGAAAUUCUUGCAACAACUAAUCGGUGCUCGUCUGAAAUUUAAUCGUAUUUUCAGUUUAUUAAUGUCUUUCUCAGUUUUUUAUAUUGUCAUUUUGUUUGUGACUUUGAUAUGUUUUGAUUUAGGCUUAUUUCUUUCUGUGGCGGAAUUGGAAUCUCAACCCCUGUUGAUGAAUUGUCCAAGUCCGAGUCUAAAAGAACUGUGUUCAAUUUAGACUCAGCAAAACAUUCUUCCAAAAUUACUCAAGUUGUUUCAAUAAUGUUGGAUGAGUUUGAAGACUUGCCAAAAUUGUUGGGAGAAGGACACUCGAUUUUUAUUAAGGGUCUUACCAACGUACCUUUGAAUUCGAUUAAGUUUGACGGGACUAACAAAAUUUGGUCAGGCGAAUGGAAUGAAGAUAAUUGGCCUACAAAAGUGAAUCGCAAAACUAAACAAAUGGGAUCAGUCAUGCUAGCUGAGGCAAUAGCGAAAGACGAUAAGAGGUAUAUGCCACGCGAAGCUGCUGCUACUGCAAUUGAGCGGAAUAAUUCGGGGUAACAGAAAGGCUGCCGCAGAUCCUAUCAAAUACUUUUAAGAAACUUUAGAAAUGUUACAUGUCCCGGAUCUUUGCAGUUAUUUUAAUUGUGUCUAUUCUCUAAUAUUUGGUAUUUGCACAAAGACUUCCAAGCUUGAUUGUACUUGGUAAGAUUUCUUUAACUCUGUCAUAUAGUAAACAGUUAUACGUAUAAACAAAGCAUUUCUCAGCAUUAUUUGCAAAUUCAGUGUCCAUAAUUUUAAAAAUCGUGGAUUUUACUGAUUAGUCGAUACAAUAUAUUCCGCUGAUUUCAUUUUUCAAUCCGAUUAAUCAUACCUAAAAUUAAUAUAUUAGGUCUAACAAAUUUAUUAUUAUUAUUAUUUUAAUACAUCAAAUUGAUGUUUCGAUUCAUUAUUUUAAUUAAUCUCUAACUUUUCUUUUUGCAUGCUAAUACCUUGUAAAAGAUAAACGCUUCAGGCAUGAUAAUAAGGCUGCAUGUGUACACUGCCACUUUCAUGAAUGUAUGCACAAAAUAGUUGGCUCUUCAAAGUUCAAACCUAGGUUUCAUCACAAUUCACGUAUGUCCGUAUGAUACGAAUCGUAUCAAGAGUAAAGUUGGGUAGAAAAUUAAGGAAAAUGUUUGGUGCACUUAAUUGUGUACAAAAUUUUGUAAAUAAUGACCUGUGGUGAGUUUUGAAUGGAAUGAACAUCGUGUAUUCACAUCAAUCAUCCCAAUUAAAACAUUCCACCUCAAUUGUCACAUCAUUAUUUACAAAUUUUAUGUACACAAUUAUAUGCACCUAGCACUACUCGAAAAUUAAAUGACUAAAAUCCAGCCCCACAGGCUAGCACCUUGGUUUGCUUAAAAAUCGUAAUCUCUGGGGUUCGUUUUCAUGUAAAUUGUAAGCUAGUAUAUCGUCAACUUUUCUUUGAAUUGGUAAAUUUGUAAUUUCACCCUGGAAGACCUAAAAACUGGUCAGGACCAUUUUAAAAGCGCUUAACGUGUAGAGAACUUGUUUUAAUGUGGACCCUUGGAUGUUCGAUCCCAUGGCUAGACAACUCCAAAUGUUUGAAUGUUUACGGUUAGGAUGCAAUUUGUGUCCCCAUCUCGUGUUUACAAGAAUGCAAUUUCCAUGUUUCAACGUCUUUUAACCCCUCUGGCUUAUAUACGGAGUAUUCUUUUGUAUCAAAUUUUGAGACAGCCUUAACCUAAGAGCAACUCCAAUACAAUGCUAUACUUGAUUCUAUUGCUAUAUUAUAGCAUCAAAAGUAAAAAAACUCAACUCCAAAGUGGUGCUAUAUUUGGAUGCAUCCAUGCAUAGAUGCAUCCUUGGUUCUAUAUUUUAUUUAUAGAAGUUAGGUAAAAGUUAAUGAGUUGGUUAAAUUUGAAAUUAGUUAUAGAACUUAGCAUUGGAGUGGAAGUUUUAUUUUAGCACCAAAAAACACUUUUUGGUGUUAUAUUAUAGCAAUAUCAAUAGAAAUAUAACAUCUAGCAUUGGACUUGCUCUAAUAACUCAACAUAUCAAAAAGCAAUCCCACAGAAGACCCCUUUCCAAGAAAUGGCCAUCACCAGAGCAAAUCUACCACCUCUCCUACGCGCCGCCACCGCACUCCACCCUCCCCACAUCCCCCACCAGAACUCUCCGACGUCCUUUCUCCGCUCUCACCCUUCCAACAUCCUUAUUUCAAACCCCCACUUGUUCUCCACUUUCCUCUCCCGCCGCGUCCGUCCACGCGCCGCCGCGUAUCCGAACCCACAAAACCUCCCAACCAUAUCCAACCCUUUAAACCUCAGCAUUACAGAUCACCACUUGCUCUCCCGGAGCGUGCACACAAACGCCACCGCUCUUCACAACCGUCGAAGAACUUUGGCUUGCGCACCAACUUUCGGUUGCAUUGCAGCAGCAGGAGGGAUAACACUCUUGUUCAAAAAUCGAGAAAAACCAAGAAUGUUGGCAACCGAAACUGAUCAUCUGGAGUUGAGGUUUCAUGGCUUACUAGAUAUGUACCGUGAGGGACACGGCGUAGUCGUUGAGGUUCUGGUUCGACCUAUUGAGGAGAACAAAAUUAGUAAUGCAGCUGCUAAAAAUGUUGGAGCCAAAAUUCCUCUGGAGUUGUAUAUCUCAGCUACUGAGGUGUUAGUUAAGCAACAUCCUGUUCUCACCGCCAUGCAAAGGAAUUACACAAUUCUUGCAGCGAAACAGAUAUAUUCCAAGGACAAUGAUAAAAUUCUUGCAAAAACUAAAUGGUACUUGUCUUAAAUUUAAUCGUAUUUUUAGUUUAUUAAUUUUUUCUCUGUUUUUUUUUUUGCAAGAAAAGAUUGCCAUUUUGUUUGUGACAGUGAUAUGUUUUAAUUCACUUACACUUUGUAGCGGCGAAAUCAAAAUCUCAACCCCUGCCGAUGAUUUGUCCAAUUCAGAGUCUAAAAUAACUGUGUUCAAUUUAGACUCAAAAUUUGAAUCCAGAACCAUUCAACUUGUUUUAUUUACAUUCGAUAAAUUCCAAGACUUGCCAAAGUUGUUGGGAGAAGGACACUCAGUUUUUGUUAAGGGUUUUCUAAACCUAUCUUUGAAUUCGAUUAAGUCUGACGAGAUUAACACAGUUAGGUCAGACGAUAAUUGGCAUAGAAUUGUGAAAGGCAAAACUGAAAAAAUGGAAUAUCUCUUCUUAGCUGAGGCGAUAACAAAGGACGAUGAGAGGUAUAUGCCACGGGAAGGUGUUGCUGCUGCAGUUGGGCGGAAUACUGAGGAAUAAGAGAAAGGUCGUGGCAGAGAAGAAUGUGUAUCAAAUGUAUGUUUUAACAAACUUUGAUAAUGGUACAUGCCCAGAAUCUUUGCAGUUAUUGUAUGCCUAUUCUUUAAUAUUUGGUCUACGCACAAAGAAUUCCCAGCUUGAUUGUACUCGAAAAGAUUUCUCAACUCUCAUGUAGUAAACAACAGUUCUAGGUAUAAAGAAGGCAUUUCUCUGAAUUAUCUGAUGGUUGAUUUUGUUGCAAAUUUUUUGUGUCCAUAAUUGAGGGAGUAAAAUGCAAAGUGUGUACCUGUAGUUACGCACUUGUGCAGUUUGUGUACCUCUGCUUUCGAAUCUAGCGGAGUGUGUACCUGUGGUUCCAAGAUUCCAGCGUUACGUGUGUUUCUGUUAAAAACCAUCUAACGGCGUUAGUAUUGGAGGGACAUCACGAGUAAUUGUGGGACUAUAUACCUGUGUGUAGGGGUGUAAACGAGCCGAGCCGAGUCGAACACUGCCAGGCUCGGCUCGAGUUCGACUGAAAAGUUCGGGGCUCGAGCUCGAGUUCGAGUUCGACCGAGCCUUUAAUUUCAAGUUCGAAACUCGGCUCGUAAAUAGUUCGAUAGGCUCGAGUUCGGCUCGAAAGCUCGAAUCAAGUUACCAAAUAUUGACAAAAACUCGAAAUAUGAUCGGUUCGACUCGAGUUCGAUUCGAUUAAAUAUAUAAAUUAUAAAUAAAAUAUUGAAUAUAUUUGUAAAAAUAUAUUUAUAAUAAAAAAAUUAAAAAAUAAUAGAGGCUGAUCGAUAAGGCUCGCGAACCUUACGAGCCGAGUAAUUUGAAGCUCGAGCUCGGCUCGGUAAAACAUUCGAAUAGCUCGAGCUCGAGCUCGGCUCGAUUAUUACCGAAUCGAAUUCGAAUAUUUUCCAAGCCGAACUCGAGUAGCUCACGAAUAGUUUGGUUUGUUUACACCCCUACCUGUGUGUAUGUACUGCAUGUCUCCCGUUCUUGUUUCAAGCCAGCAGCUCAUUAAAACUCACUUAAAUAAACAGGACAUGCAAAGUUUUCGUCUACAUGUACAUGAUAAUUUUCAUCUUUUUAUACACGUAAAUAUAUACUUUACUCUCCUCCCAUCUAAUUUCUUUGCGAUUGUUAAAAAUUAUUAUUUUACGUGUGUAUAUAUAUAAUAUAAUUUCAUACUUAUUUUGAUAAUUUCUUUUUAUAAAUAUUAAUAAAAUUAAGUUUUUAUUCAGAAAAAAAAAUUAAAAUAAUUUAUAAACUACUAUAUUUUAUAAGAAUAUUAAAAUGUGUGUCAAGUCCGUCCAAAAUAAACNNNNNNNNNNNNNNNNNNNNNNNNNNNNNNNNNNNNNNNUCUUUCCCUCCCCUUUGUAUACAGUUGUAUACAUUAGGAUAGGGACGUGGGACUUAUUUUAAUGUUGCCGAAAAAUAUAGUUAUAUAACUUAUUUUUAAUCAUUAUUUUUCAGAAUAAAAAAUUAAUAUUUAAAUUUUUAUUCAGAAAAAUAAUUUAAAAACAAGUUACAAAAUUAUAUUUUAUAGUGAGUAUUAAAGUGAGUUCCAAGUAAUGAAAAAUAUAUUAUUCUUUAUUAUAUAUAUAUAUAUAAUUAUAUAUUGUAAAAAUGUUACUCAAUCGUAUUUAAUAAGAAGUUUUUUAAAAAUUGUCACAUAAAUAUAAUAGGUAUUUAUCUAUUAUCAUAUUAUCCACAAAAAAAUAAUAUUUGUAAUACCUUUUUAUGAAAUAUAUAUUUGUAAUUAGGAAUUGAGAUUCAAAAAUAUAACAAACAUAAUUACUACUCUCUUCGUCUCUCUGAUUAUUUAUAUUUGAGAACAGGUAUUUAACACGUAUUUUAAAGCUUAUAUAGAGAGCAAUUUCAAUAAUUAUAUAUUUUUUUCUGUAUUCAUUAACCUUUUUUUUUUUUGCAAAUUGCCUCAGUAAUAUAAUAGGUAUAUUAUAUACAUUAUUAUCAUAAGUUUUACAACAAAAUUAAUAUUUGUAAAUAUUAUUUGGUCAAAAUAAAUCUUUGUAAUUAGAAAUUGGGAUCCACAAAUAUAAUAUACAUAAUUACUCUCUUUCUAUCCUCCUAAUUUUAUUUUGGGGUACGGGUUCAACAUGUAUUUUAAAAUUUUAAUAAAAAAUAAUUUCAGAGAUUAUGUUUAUCUAAAAAAGUUAAUUUUUAAAUAUUUACAAAAAAAACAGAAAAGAAAAGGAAACCUUGCUUUUGCUUUUCUCGUUUGAUCGACAGAGCAGAGGACAUACGAACAGAUACAGUCGCUAGCCACAAAAUUACCACUGCUGCCCCUCAUGCACUAACUCUGUUAAGUUAUUUUUAACGGAAGUACACACUUUGCUAGAAUCUGAAAACUAGAGGUACACACUUUGCUAGAUUCACAAAAUGAGGUACACAAAAUGCACAUGUGUGUAACUACAGGUACACAUGUUGCAUUUUACUCAUCCAUAAUUCUAAAAACCGUUGAUUUGACAUAUUAAUCGCUACAAAGUGCUGAUCUGCUAAUUCGAUUUUUCAAAUUCAGUUAACUACGACAUAUUUUUCUCAAGAUAAUAAAUAUGAUUAAUUUAAAAUUUAGUUGUAAUGGGUGAUUAGCUAGAAACAACAAAAAAAUUGAUUAAAAAUGAAUCAAAAUUUAUUGAUUGGUUAAAUGAAUAUGGUUAAAAUAUUUAAUUUGCAUAUUGUUAACAUUUGAUUUAGGAGUGACUUAUUUUUUUCUGAUUGGUGAACUGCUGGGAAAGUUGGAAAGGAAUAUUAUUGGUCUAAAAUUUAGGAGUGAUUUUUGUUUGAUCCUGAAAUAAUUUUUUUUCUGAUUGGUUUACUAGAUACAAUGGUAGACUCAGGUAUUAUAAUAAAAAAUAUAUGUUUUUAAUUUGAUGUACGUAAGAUUAUGCAUUCCAAAAAUAAGUUUUUAUCUAACAAAAUCAUAAAUAUAAUAAGUUUAAUUUCACGUAAAAUUUCAAGUUUAUACAAACUUUAAAAUAUUUAUUGUAUGAUAUAACUAAUAUAUAUAUAUAUAUAGUAAAAAUAAUAUUUACUUAGAGUAUCAUGAACCGAGUAGUUUGAUAUUUGAGCUCAUUUAAUAAAAUAAAAAAAUACUCAAGUUCAAAUUUAAUAAAAUUAAUCUCUUCAUCUCAUUUUAACUGAAUUUUGAUUUUUGAUACUUAUAUUUAUUUUUUAUGAAUUUUAUAAAAUAUAAUUGUGUUCAGGUUUAAUUUUUUAACACUUUAGAACACAUAUAAAAAAAUCAAAAGCAAUUAUAAUACAAUUGAGGAAUAUUCGUUAUUAAUUUGUACAUAAUGUUAUUUAGGGCGGAGUAAUUUGCUGCUUGGCUAAAGAAAAAUGAUGAUAUCAAUUAUUAGGGAAACCACAAUAGAUUUUUCUUUUUUGCAUGCUAAAAUCUUGUAAACAUACGAUUAUCUCGAUAUUCAGUUUUGGAUGAAUGUCCGACGACUAGUAUUAUAAUAAAAUUUUAAUCUAUAUAAUGUUUUCUAAUAAGUGCACGUCGAAUAUGACUCCGUCCAACAAGCUCAAUGAAUUCACAUAUAAUAGUUAAAAAAUAUGAUAUUUAUUAAUAUUUUUAAUAUUGAUUCUCAUCACUUAAUAUUCAUUCAACGGACAUGAACAUCUGUGUUAUUUCACAUAUUCGUCGCAAUUGUAUGUCAUGACAGUUACCCAAAAGAGAAACGCUUCAGGCAUGAAUCAUGAUAUUAAGGCUGUACAUUGCCACUUUCAUGAAUAUAUGCACAAUUCACAGUUCGUAUCAAGGGUAAACUUGGGUACAAAAUUAAGCUACUAAAAUGCAGCCACAUAGGCUAGCACCUUGGUUUGCUUUAAAAUGUAGAAAUCUUGUUUUCAUGUGGACCCUUGGAUGUUCGAUCCCAUGGCUGGACAAUUUCAAAUGUUUAACCUGGGGCUGUGACAAAAUAUAUAUAUAACUGAAUAUGACGAAAUAACAAUAAUAACCCCUAUGACAUAUAUAUACCUCACACACAGUAAAAAGCCCAUACUUUUGUAUCAAAUUUUCAGACAGCCUUUACCUAGAAACUCAAAAUAUCAGACAGCAAUCCCACCGACCCCUUUCGAAGAAAUGGCAAUCACCAAAGCAAAUCUUCCACCUCUCCUACGCGCCGCCACCGCACUCCACCCUCCCCACUACCACCACAACUCUCUGACGUCCUUUCUCCGCUCUCACCCUUCCAACAUCCUUAUUUUAAACCCCCACUUGUUCUCCACCUUCCUUCACCGCCGCGUCCGUCCACGCGCCACCGCGUUUCCCAACCCUAUAAGCCUCAGCAUUUCAAAUCACCACUUGGUCUCCCGGAGCGUGCACACACACGCCACCGCUCUUCACAAGCGUCGAAGAACUUUCCACAUCUUGGAUUACGCUCUAGCCUUCGGUUGCAUUGCAGCAGGAGGGAUAAUACUCUUCUACAAAAAUCGAGAAAAACCAAGAAUGUUCGCAACCGUAACUGAUAAUCUGGAGUUCAGGUUUCACGGCUUAAUACCACACAUGUACCGUAAGGGGCACUACCUAGUCGUUGAGGGUCUGGCUCGACCUUUAAAGCAGAACAAUAUUAGUAAUGCAACUGCUAAAAAUCUUAGAGACCACAAAGGUCCUUUGGAACUCUAUAUGUCAGCUACUGAGGUGUUAGCUCAGCCUGAUCAUGUUGUCACCGCCUUCCAAAGGAAUUACACAAUUCUUGCAGUGAAGCAGAUAUAUUCCAAGGACAACGAUAAAAUUCUUGCAACAACUAAUCGGCACUCAUCUUAAAUUUAGUCGUAUUUUCAGUUUAUUAAUGUCUCUCUCCGUUUUGCAAGAAAAGAUUGUUAUUUUGUUUGUGACUUUGAUAUGUUUUGAUUUAGGCUUACUUCUUCCGUUGGUGAAAUCGGAAUCUCAACCCCUGUCGAUGAUUUGUCCAAGUUCGAGUCUAAAAAAAUUGAUUCCUUAGAGCAAGUCCAACACUAUGCUAAGAAGUUCCCUAAAAAUAUUAUAAAAUAAUAUGUCUUAGUGAUUUAGCACAAGAUUUAGCACAUGAGCUCCAAUAGUACUCCCUAUAUCCAUUCUUUAUUAUUAUAAUAAUAUUAAAUUUAAACAACUUCAUAGUGGAGGAGAGAGGGAAAUGAUGUGGGGGAGAGAGAGAAAUGAAUAUUUUAAUGAUAAAAAUAGUUUAAAAGUGGCUAGUAUAUUCUAAAAAUAGGGAAUGGGAGGUUUGUGCUAGUGAUUUAGCACAUCACUAGCAUAGUGUUGGAGUGCAAUUUUAUCCCAUAUUCCCUAUUUUUGGAUUUAAGACUUGAUUUAGCACACCUAUUGGACUUGCUCUUACUUACUCAACUUGUUUUAUUAAUGUUGGAUGAUUUUGAAGACUUGCCAAAAUUGUUGGGAGAAGGCCACUCGAAAUUUAUUAAGAGUCUUAUCGGCAUACCUUUGAAGUCGAUUAAGUUUGACGAGAUUGAGUGGAAUGAAGAUAAUUUGCCCAAAAAAGUGAAGGGCAAACCUCAAAAAACGGAACUCAUGUUAGCUGAGGCAAUAGCGAAGGACGAUGAGAGGUAUAUGCCACGGGAAGCUGCUGCUACCGCAAUUGAGCGGGAUACUGCGGAGUAACAGAAAGGCCAUGGCAGAGUAGAUUUCUUUAACUCUCUCAUACAGGAAACAGUUAUACGUAUAAACAAGGCAUUUCUCAGAAUUAUUUGCAAAUUUAAUCGUAUUAUUAGUUUAUAAAUGUCUUUCUCCGUUUUUUAAUAUUGCAAGAAAAGAUUGCCAUUUCGUUUGUGACUUUGAUAUGUUUUAAUUUACUUACAACUUCUAGCGGUGAAAUGAAAAUCUCAACCCUUGUGCUCGAGUUAGACUCAGAAUUUGAUUCCAGAAUUACUCAACUUGUUUUAUUUACAUUCGAUAAGUUCCAAGACUUGCCAAAAUUGUUGGGAGAAGGACACUCGAUUUUUAUUAAGGGUCUUGGCAACAUACCUUUGAAACCGAUUAAGUUUGACGGGAUUAACAAAAUUUUGCCAGACGAGUGGAAUGAAGAUAAUUGGCCUAAAAAAGUGAAUCGCAAAACUAAACAAAUGGGAUCAGUCAUGCUAGCUGAGGCAAUAGCAAAAGACGAUGAGAGGUAUUUGCCACGCGAAGCUGCUGCUACUGCAAUUGAGCGGAAUAAUGCGGAGUAACAGAAAGGCUGCAGCAGAGAAGAAUGGGAACGUAUCAGAUACAUUGUAGUCCUGGAUCAUUGCAGUUAUUUUAAUUGUGUCUAUUCUCUAAUAUUUGGUAUUUGCACAAAGACUUCCAAGCUUGAUUGUACUUGGAAAGAUUUCUUUAACUCUCAUAGCAGUUCUAGGUACAAAGAAUGCAUUUCUCUGAAUUAUUUGCAAAUUCUGGGUCCAUAAUUUAAAAAUCAUCAAUUUGACCUAUUAACCAAUACAUAUUUUGUUGAUUUGAUUUUUCAAAUCCAAUUAAUUAUAAUAUUUUUUUCUAAAAUUAAUAUAAUACGUCUAAUAAAGUCAAUAUUAUUAUUUACAUCCGGUUAAUGUUUUAAUUAGUUAUUAUUGUUAUUUUCAUUAAUAUCUAACUAUCGAUUAAUCACUAUACAAUAUCAGCGAUGACUUUCGAUUUUUGCUUUUUGAUUUUUACCGAGUUGAGGUGAUAUUCUAACACAUUAACAUAUAAUGGUAGUACUGUAAUUAGGGCUAAGCAUUCGGUCGGUUCAGUUAAGAACCGGAUCCAACCGAAAAAACCGAAAACCGAAUUAAUAAUUUUUUCUGAACCGAAUCGGAUCAAAAUUAUGUUAUGAACCGAAGCGCAACCGAAACGAAAUAGUUCGUUUCGGUUCUUACUCAAAGAACUGAAUUUUUCUUUAAAAAAAUGAAAUAACAAAUAGUUGGUGUGAGCAUAUAUGCCUGCAGAAGGGGAGAAGGAAACAAAAGGGUUAUCUAACAGUAUACAAAUAGAGAUUCUUCAACAAAUAACAAAAGAGUCUAGUAUAGGACACAAAAGGUAAGCCUGAACAGACUUCGGAAAUAUCAAUCUCCGAUUUGGAAAUUUAAAUCGAGAUUCUGAAAUUUUAAAAUUUGAUACGUAUGCUGAUUGAUGAUUGGAUUGAGGCUGGGUACUGGUGGGGGUGGGGGAUAUAUUUAGUACCGAGUGAAUUGCAUUUUGCAUCCUUUAUCUAUGGCCCAAAAACAAUUUUUGUAUAUGUACUUUUCAAAAUUGCAUUUUGCAUCCCAUAUGUUUCAAAUCCGAUACAAGCUGCACCAUCAAUCGGUUUUAGCAUCCAAUUGAGACGUUAACGUUAAGUUUUUUAAGGGUAUAAUAGGCUUUACACAUUUCAACGGUUAUAUUAUUAUGUAUAUAUAAGCUCUUUACAUCUUAACUCUAAUUAUGUUUCUUCUUAUAAGUGAUUAUCUUCAUAUAAUUGCACCUAGGGUCUGUUUGGGAGUGCUGUUAAAAAUUGCUGUGCUGUCAGAAAAAGUGCUGGUAAAAUAAGUGCUGUUGUAGAAAUCAUAUAACUGUUUGGUAAUUUUUUGAUAUUACUUAUUUUGAGUUAUAAUAUAAAAAAAAAUAAUGUUUUUGGUGAGGUUUUAUAAUUAAAUCUAUAACAGCAUUCUGCAAAAGCUGAAAAGCAGCUUUUUCCAAAAGCAUGGGAGGACCUGCUUUUUCUAACAGCAGCUUUUCAGCUAAAAGCUGCUGUUCAGAAAAGCUGCUUUUCGAUUUACCAAACAGUUUUUCACCUGCUUUUCAGCAAAAAGCUGCUGUUGCUGUCUGCAACAGCAACCCCAAACAGUACCCUAGUAUGUUCUGUUCAAUGAACUGAGAGUUUGUAUUUACAGAGUUGUGGAGAAAGCUGCGCAAGUAUACCAGUAUGGAAUGGGGGUGACAAGUUUCGCGUCACAAUGUCAGCGGGGGUCGUGAUAUUAUUGUAAACCUAGCUGAAAAGACUUGUGCAUACCUAAAGUGGCAAUAAUAUAACCGUUUAAAUGUAUAAAGCCUAUUAUACUUUUAAAAAACUUAACGUUAACGACUUAAUUGGAUGCUAAAACGGAUUGAGGAUGUAGCUUGUAUGGGUUUUGAGACAUACGGAAUGAAAAACGCAAUUUUGGAAAGUAGGUAUACAGAAUUGUUUUUUGAUUAUAAAUAAGGGAUGCAAAAUGCAAUUCACUCUUUAAUAUAUUUUAUUAAUUUUAUUAAUAUAAAUAGUUUGGUUCUUUCGGUCUGAAACUGAAUUUUUUUCAAAAGGAAUGGACCGGACUGAACCGAAAUUUAUUUCGGUCUGGACCGAAAACCGAAAAUCCGAAUUUCUGGAAAAGAAAAAAGGAACCGGAUCAGAUCGAAUUUUCGGUCUGGACCGAAAACCGAAAAACCCGAAUAUCUGGAAAGGAAAAAAGGAACCGGAUCACAAUUCGUUCACUGUAGUAGUAUUUGGAGGUAGUUUUGCUUUUAACUAGAAUAACUAGAAGGUAAAGACUGAAUACGCAAAAUCGAAUAGAGUUGGUUGCAGCUUGGAAAACUAGAAAGUAAAAGCAAGACUUACCAGGACUAAAGAUGUGUGAUUUGACCGCACCUGACAAAUAAGAUUUGGGAGAUAAAUCUUGGCCAUUGCCCAUUGCCCAUUGCCCAUUGCCCAUUGCCCAUUGGGAUUAAAAACAGUGUUUGAUUUUAAUACACAAAAUCAAGGUCGUCAAAAUCGAAAAUUGGUUCAGCUCAGUUUGAUUCAAGAAAAAUGAGUACUCGGAAUUCGAGAGAGUACUCGAAAUUGUUAUCGGAUAAUUAAUCGGGUAUUUUUUAAAUUAAUUUUUUCUCUCAUAUAUAGUUAUGUACUGAUUAAUAAUAAAACUAUCUAAUAAUAUUAAUAUUUUAAUAACACACUGAAAUAAUGAAGUUCAAAUAAAAGUUACUUGUUUGAUAGUUCCGACAUAAUAAUCAUUCACAAGUUUUAAUGAUAAAACACAUAUACUUUCUAAUUAAUGUCAAUACUUUGCAAAAAAAAGAAGACCAAAACAUAUAUAAAUUUACGUUUAGUCUCUUUUGAAAUUAUUUUCAAAUAAAACAAUUAAAAAUUGAUAAGUCAAACUCGGAUUUGACCUCGAGGACUCGGAGUCAAGCCGAGUUUUGACCAAUUUUUCAAUAAAUCGGUUUUAAACCCGAUUAAUCGGAACUCAGAUCGGACGAGGGGUUAAAAACGAGUACUCGGAAUGAGUACUCGACUGACUUAGCGAUUUUUAGAACACCGCACAAAAUACAAAAUUAUAAAGUAGAUGCGCAUUGGGUGAUAUUAAUGAACCCUUCACUUUAACACAAAAACACUUUUGAGUUUUGAGUAACUUCUGUGACCUAUACCAUACUUUUGUAUCAAAUUUUCAGACAGCCUUCACCUAAUAACUCAACAUAUCAGACAGCAAUCCCACCGACCCCUUUGGAAGAAAUGGCUAUCACCAGAGCAAAUCUUCCACCUCUCCUACGCGCCGCCACCGCACUCCACCCUCCCCACAUCCCCCACCACAACUCUCCGACGUCCUUUCUCCGCUCUCACCCUCCCAACAUCAUUAUCCCAAACCCCCACUUGUUCUCCACCUACCUUCACCGCCGCGUCCGUCCACGCGCCACCGCGUAUCCCAACCCUUUAAACCUCAGCUUUUCAAAUCAACACUUGGUCUCCCGAAGCCUGCACACACGCGCCAUCGCUCUUCACAAGCGUCGAAGAAAUGACGACAUCUUGCGUUACGCUCUAAUUUUCGGUGGCAUUGCAACAGCAGGAGGGAUUAUGAUCCUGUUGUACAAAAUGGAAAAAAAACCAAGAAUGUUCACAACCGUAAAUCGUAAUCUGGAGCUGAGGUUUUUCGGCUUCAUACCAGAUAUGUACCGUAAGGGACACGGCGUAGUCGUUGAGCUUCUGGCUCGACCUUAUGUUAAAAAUGUUAGAGCCCAAGGUCCUUGGGAAUUCUAUAU
rnacentral:lncRNA from 1 species